AUGCCCAUCGGCUUCCUCGACCCAGUCUCCAACAUCAUCGCCAACACCAUCGCCUACACGCCUGGAUCCGACAAGGAGGAGGAGGAGGAUGAGGCGCCGUCGUCGGAGUGGAUCCUCUCCAAGAUCAUCACCGACACUAACGACAUAUCCGCCUUCGAACUACCGCUUUCCCGGCACAAGUCCAUGACCCUCGCGCGGCUGUCGCUGGACGGUCUUGUCAGCCUCCUCACCUCCCACUACCGCUACCUCGUCAGCAGGGAAGCCAUGAGCUACUUGCUCCUGGCCAGGGCCGAUCUUCUCACCGCUGUGCGCCUCAUCGAGCGUGAUCGUAACAAGAGGUGCAACUCCUUCAGUAUUACCUCCCCUACAGCCAAGGUCGCCCUGGAAUGUGCCGCUGUGUCUGCCAGGCAUCCUGAACAGACGUCCUGGUGA
rnacentral:rRNA from 1 species